UCGAGCAGCAGGGGCUGCUACCUUCAGAUCGAAGCGAGGACCAGGGUCAACGCGCGCGAUGCAGAGGUCGGGCAUGGGGUCGACGUAGUGUACGCAGCAGUGGUGCAGGUGGAAGCAGAGCUCCGGCAUGAGGCACGGCCGCUGCAAGGACUUGGCGCGGCGACGAGGUCCGGGAAUGGGCGCGGCGAGGCGCUUGGGUCCAAAUCCGAUGUGGAGCGCUUCGACAACGACUUGGUUCGCUGGAUCCGGGCGAAGAACACGGCGGCUCGACCUUGGCGUCCAUGGCGCGGAGGGAUAGGGCUCAUGGGUAGAGAGAGAGAUGAGACAGGAAAAGGACCCGAUUGCUUUUAUUUUCCGGGCCAAGGACCCGAUUGCUUUUUCAUUUUUCCAAAAAGGGUGUUGGUGUAA
rnacentral:rRNA from 1 species